GAAGAGCGCAUCGUAAGCACACCGCAUCCUGUAGGAGACUUCAUUUUUGCCAAGAACACUGCCGAGGAAGUAUGUUCUCGCAUCUGCUGUGUACCGUGCUAGUUCUGCACACCACAUUUGCCGAUGCAGACCACGCGGAAAAUACAACAGAACCAUCCGUAGACACUGAGGAGUAUCCAACUGUGCUGCCCGAGGACACGAAGAAUACGACCAAUCUGACCCUUUACAACGCUUUGGAUGUGCCUACCAGAUGUAGAUCAGGCUAUGCUGAUUACAACGGAAAUUGUAUCAAGACGAUCAACCUGUCAGUGCGUGACGAGAAAUGAGGAAAAGUAACCCGGUUCCAGUCAGUGUGAUGGACUGUCCAACUGAAGCACGUCGGUUACCAAUCGAACGUGGCUGUCACGUGUCUUGCAAAUAAAGAACAUCUUUAUAUGAGCUUUA